rnacentral:rRNA from 1 species
AGCGGCGGAUGGGUGAGUGACACGUGGGGAACCUGCCCCUAAGUCUGGGAUACCAUUUGGAAACAGGUGCUAAUACCGGAUAAUAAAGCAGAUCGCAUGACCAGCUUUUGAAAGGCGGCGUAAGCUGUCGCUAAGGGAUGGCCCCGCGGUGCAUUAGCUAGUUGGUAAGGUAACGGCUUACCAAGGCGACGAUGCAUAGCCGAGUUGAGAGACUGAUCGGCCACAUUGGGACUGAGACACGGCCCAAACUCCUACGGGAGGCAGCAGUAGGGAAUCUUCCACAAUGGACGCAAGUCUGAUGGAGCAACGCCGCGUGAGUGAAGAAGGUUUUCGGAUCGUAAAGCUCUGUUGUUGGUGAAGAAGGAUAGAGGUAGUAACUGGCCUUUAUUUGACGGUAAUCAACCAGAAAGUCACGGCUAACUACGUGCCAGCAGCCGCGGUAAUACGUAGGUGGCAAGCGUUGUCCGGAUUUAUUGGGCGUAAAGCGAGCGCAGGCGGAAAAAUAAGUCUAAUGUGAAAGCCCUCGGCUUAACCGAGGAACUGCAUCGGAAACUGUUUUUCUUGAGUGCAGAAGAGGAGAGUGGACCUCCAUGUGUAGCGGUGGAAUGCGUAGAUAUAUGGAAGAACACCAGUGGCGAAGGCGGCUCUCUGGUCUGCAACUGACGCUGAGGCUCGAAAGCAUGGGUAGCGAACAGGAUUAGAUACCCUGGUAGUCCAUGCCGUAAACGAUGAGUGCUAAGUGU